ensembl:lncRNA
GAGUUGGAUUCUAGGCUCUGCUGCUCAGGAGCUCUGUGUCCUUGAAUAAACUCCUGAACUCCUUCUGGGCCUAACUUAUUCAGCUGGGGGAAGGAGACAGUUCCUGCCCUCCCUAUCUCUUAGAGCAUUUCAUCUGGCUCCAAAACACAAGGUGCUUAUGAAGGAGGGGAAGGGAGAAGUACUAAUAAAUUUGCCUAAGGACUUUUGGGAUUUUCCUGGGAAGGAAGGAACCAAAAUCUCAACCCUUUCUUAGUCAUUUCAGGCUAUAGAAACCUUUAGGGUGGGCUAAGUAAUCUAUAGGAGUAUGAAAAGCCCUCUGUAAAAGCACUCAGGGUAGAAAGAGGUGUUGAACGUGAGCCGAGGUGCUGGAUGUUGCCUUAUUCCAAAAGCAAAGGGUUUGGCCUGGAGCAAAUGGCCCAGCUGGGUGAAUCUAGAAAGAUGGCCGUUGCGAGCCCAAGUCACAUUUGGCAUGUGGAGCCCUUAGCCAAGAUAACUCUGAGUAGGGAACCCUCCUUUUUAUCUGAAGGUCCAUAUUGCUCUGCUUGGUGGAAGAGGAGUGUCCGUUAAAACUGAGUGCUAUCAGUUUUCCUCUCUAAUAAGAAAUAUCUUAAAACAUUCCUUCUCUAUCUUGAAAUGAAAGUCAUAGAUGAUAGCUUCAGUUCAGUUCAGUCACUCAGUCGUGUCCGACUCUUUGCGACCCCAUGAAUCGCAGCGCACCAGGCCUCCCUGUCCAUCACCAACUCCCAGAGUUCACUCAGACUCAUGUUCAUCGAGUUCGUGAUGCCAUCCAGCCCUCUCAUCCUCUGUCGUCCCCUUCUCCUCCUUCCCCUAAUCCCUCCCAGCAUCAGAGUCCUUUCCAAUGAGUCAUGUCUUUGCAUGAGGUGGCCAAAGUACUGGAGUUUCAGCUUUAGCAUCAUUCCUUCCAAAGAAAUCCCAGGACUGAUCUCCUUCAGCAUGGACUGGUUGGAUCUCCUUGCAGUCCAAGGGACUCUGAAGGUCUUCUCCAACAGCACAGUUCAAAAGCAUUAAUUCUUUGGUGCUCAGCUUUCUUCCCAGUCCAACUCUCACAUCCAUACAUGACCACAGGAAAUACCAUAGCCUUGACUAGACAGACCUUAGUCAGCAUAUACACACUUAUAAUCUGCAAAAAAUAAUCAUCAUAAUAUCCUAAGUAUAAUAUAAAGAAAAAAUGGACACCAAUUUGUAAUAAAGCAGUAUGGCCAAACUAUACCAGAAGAUGCAAUACAAAGUCAGAUAUUAUAUGUGUGGAAUCUUUGUGAGCAAAGUGGCCAUAUACUGGUACAGGUACAGUGGGUUAAAGACUGCCAUAUUACAAGUGGCUUUGCUCUCAGUGAUAUGAUUUUCUGAAAUAGUGAUGCACAACUGGUGAUGUUCCAAACACACCCAAUAGUUUUCUGUUUACUGGACAUGAUAGCUGCAUUCCUGGAGAUUUCAGUAUAAGUUAAAACCUUGCCAAGACCUUGUGUGCUUAUACAUAAAACAGAAUCUAAGCUCUGAUAAUUAUAAACAAGGGAGAAAACUUUUAUGGUUGGUGGAGUAUUUUUGGGUGUUUGCGUCAUGUAGGUCAUAGUUCUUGAUGAGUAAGAGGUAUUACCUGCUUUGCAGGAUGUCUAGAAUCCCUGGCCCUGCCCACUAAAAGCUGGUAACAUAACUUCAGUCAUUGUGACAACCAAAAUGUGCCCUUCUAAUUUUAAGAUACCCUCUGGAAGUCAUGCCAUUCUUAUUGAGAAGCACUAGGGUAGAGGUCAAGCUUACCUUCACUGUUCUAGAGACAGUUGGAAGUGACCAGGCUUUCCAGUGAAGGCAUUGAUAGCCAAUGGAAGACUUUACUGCACUUCAUGGGACCCCAGGUCUACUAGCUUAAGCUGCCAUAACAAAAUACCCCAAACUGGGUGGCCUAAAUACCAGAAAUUUGUUUCUCAAAGUCCUAGAAGCUGGGCAGGCCAAGAUAAAGGUGCCUGCUGAUUUAGUGCCUCUCUUCCUGGCUUGCCUUCUCUGUGUCCUCACAUGGCAGGGGGAGGGCUCGUUGGGCCAUGUCAGUCUUCGCUGCAGCACACAGGCUCUCCAGUUGUGCACACAGGCUGAGUUGCUGCAUGGCAUGUGGAAUCUUAGCUCCCCUACCGGGAUUGAACCCACAUCCCUUGCAAGGUGGGUUCUUAACUACUGGACCACCAGGAAAGUCCUUCUCUUUCUCUUCUUACAAGGACCCUAGUGCCAUCGUGGCGGCUCAACCCUCAUGACCUCAUUUAAACUUGAUUAUCUGCAAAGAUCUUACCUCCUGGGCUUCAGUGUAUGAAGUUUGGGGUGAUACAAACAAGAAGUCCAUAGCACCAGGUUUCCAGCCUUUGUUUUAUAAAAUGACCAUCUUCUGUUGGAAGCUGUUAUGGUCUUCUGGGGUCAAAGGAGACACUGGAGUUCUGGUUCUAGGGGUUACCUAGGAGCAAGCAGGAUGAACAGACCCCUUGUUUAUGAGGAAACGCCUGGGAAGUUCUUAGAUCCACUGGAGUGGGCAGGUACUAGAAAGAGAAUGUAGACAUUCUGCCCUUCUGGACAACUGGAGUCCCAAUCAACUCAUGUUUAAGGGCCUGAACUCGGGAGUUAGAUCUGAGUUUUAAUCCUGUUUCAGUCAUCUGGUAACUGUGUGACCCUGGACAAAGUACUUAGCAGCCUGAGUCUCCGCAUAAAAAUGGGCAUAGACCUGUCUUGAAGGUUGGUGGUGAAGAGUAAUAAGAUCUUCUAGUAAAAAGCUUUGCAGGAUUUCAGGCACAUAGCAUCCAUUAAUCUGUAUUGCUGCUUAUGGUCAUGCAGUCAUCCUUUGAGGACUUAUUUUUAUGUGGAAAAGCAUUCAUCACAGCUGAGGUUGCAUAGAACAGGAUGAGGUAGAGCUCCAUUUCUAUAAAAAAAAGUGAUGGGAAUCUUUCUUGAAAGUAAUUUAGGGGGUAAGCAAGGCAACUCUGGUUCAUAUUGCAUGGAAUGUUUGAAAUAUGAAAGCAAGCAUCUUCCCUCUUACCCUUAAUACAUAAGGAAAUUUCUGCUUAAUGCUUCAUGCUGAAUCCCAAGGGACUACCCAGAACAUUAUGAUCAUUUAUACAAUAAUCUUUGUACUGUUGGAGGUAUGUGCAGUGGCUGCCUUGGAAUUACAGGUUUGCCAUCUCAUGUUGACUUGUCCCUAGCUAAGCAGAGUUAGAACCAAUUACUACUCUGUUUGGAAAAGGCCUAGGACAGAAAUUCACGGGAUUCUUCCUUAUCUAUACUGUUUCCCUUCAAAGUGAAUAUUAAUGUGUGCUUGUGUUGAUGCAAAACAAACAGCCAGGUCCUCUCAUGCACACACAUUUCCCUGGGACAAAUCACUGAGAAAAACUGUUGGGAUGUAUUUUAUGAAAACAUUUUGCUAGCUCAGAAAUUCUUAAAGAGAUCCAGCUUUCUUAUGGAAAACAGCCCAGGAUUCUUAGAGAAAACACUGAAGGUUGGAGAAGUGUUCUUUUCCUUUAUCAGUGUUGUUUUGCCAAAGAAGAGGCUGUGACUGUCUUCUUCACUGAAGAGUAAAAGGAAGUUUUGAUCGUAUGCUUCCAUCAGGCCACAGACACUUUUUCAAAUUCAUUUUUCUUUAUAACGUUAAGUCAAGUCCUUUUCUUAUAACUCUCUUGUUUCAUAAAGACUUUAAGACAGUUAAAAAAUGAGAAUAGGUUUUCCCUGGUGGUCCAGUGGUUAAGAGUCCACCUGCCAAUGGAGGAUACGUGGGUUUGAUCCUUGGUCUGAGAAAGAUCCCACGUGCAGCGGAGCAACUGAGCCCAUGCACAGCAGCUACUGAGCCCCUGAGCUGCGUACUGAAGCCUGUGUGCCUAGAGCCUGUCCUCUGCAGCAAGCGAAGCCACCACGAUGAGAAGCCCGUGCACUGCAGAGAAGAACAGCCUCCAGCUGCUGCAACUAGAGAAAGCCCACACACAGCAACAAAGACCCAGCAGAGCCAAAAAUAACCAAAAAAGGGAAGGAACAAAAGAGAGGGAACAAUGACGUACAUGUGAAGAAAUGACAGAUGAACAUGGAUUAAGAGCCAACCUUGAUGAUUUACACAAGGCCAAAGCGACUCAAGGAAGAGUGAGACCCCUGGAAUCUUUCAUGGAGAGCCUUCUAUCCUGUUAAUGGUCAUUUUCUGGACUCUAUUGUGACUGUGAUAGCCAGGUUUCCCUUUUUACUGCCUGCCGUACUUACCAAGCAAUCAGCAUCCAUCUCCGCAAUGAGACGUAUCUUGCCAAAAGCUGAGGAUACUCGAAGUCCGUUGGCUGCAGUUCCCUGUAUCAAUCCCUGCAAUAGAGGUGGCCUUGCCAAUGGGACCAUAAUAACUGACAUCACUUGGCAAGGCUUCCCAUACUCUGGAUGGUGUUUGGAAAGAUAGCCGUAACAGGAACUAGAGUAUAUGCAGACUUGAAGACAGAAGAAGGAAGUUAACCAGAUCAGAAUCAUUCAUUCAAGGAUCAGAGUCAAAUAACCAGCUACAGGCCCAAGAUACAGAAGGUUAGAAGUGAUGUUUCCAAGAUUUUCAACGUUUUGAGCCACUGUUUCACAAGGCAGGCAAGUCCAUCUUUGGAUUGAAGAAUCAAAGCUACUCCAUUUUGUAAGGUUCUGGGAAAAGAGCCUUUGGAAAUCCCCUGACUUCACCCCAUCACCUGUGAACCAAUCAGAACCCUUGGCCAGCCCGGGGAAAUUCGAGUCAAGCCCGGGAAAGGAGAACCAAUCAGAACUCAACACCUAACCCUUCACCAGAAGGUCCCAUGAUUGAUACAGAGGACUGUCAUAUGAACCAGAGAGGGUAAUUGAAACCAAAGAAAGGACUCCAGUGUGUAGCCAAAGGCAUGCCACCAGGGCCUCUGAUUUGGGCCCAAAAGGAAAAGAAAUUCAGAGGAGACAGUGACUCUCAGACUCUUGUUAAUGAGCAAGAGUUCCCUGGAUCCAAGAGGUAAGUGGGAGGCGAUCUGGGUUUUAGUGUGGAAACUGCAUUCUGAGUUCUCUGGGCCAAAAAGGCCAUGGAGUCAACUGUAGAAUCACUGCUUACCUACUUUUAUCCACACAAGAUGGGGGAUCUUCACACUUACCUAAAAUUCAGUAGAACCUUUGCUAAAAAUGGAGAUGAUUGGGAGAGAAUGUCUCCCAAUGGGACUCCCCUG